rnacentral:lncRNA from 1 species
GGCCCCUGCACCUAUGCACUUGUUUCUACUUGUGUCUCCUUAGCCCUGUCAUCCUCCAAUCCAAACAUCUCAGUUUCCUCAUUGGUUUCCACAAAAAUGCCAUUCAUCUAGGCAAAGUAUCAUUUCUCCCAUGCAUAGCACAACAAACUUGCAAAUUCAUAAAAGACCUUCCUGUUAGCUCUGGUCUUGUUGCCACCCCACCUCCCAACACUUCUCUCAACAUUUCUCAUUCUCUUUAGCCAAGAAGAAUCUGGUGUCUCAUCUGUCCCUGCUUCUCCCUUCUCUCUAUCUGUUCUCCACUCUUAUCCCCUUCCAUGUGUCCAAAUUCUUUCACCUUACAUAUAAAAAGCAAUUCACUUGCCAUGGCUCCUUUCCCCAAACCCCAAACUUUCUACCAGGUACCCAGCAGACAAAAGAACUUCUAUUUAAAGUAAUUCAUCAUCUUUAGAAGAAAAUUGUGAUUAUAAAUGGCACACUUUUUCCAAUGUAUGUAACAUUUCUGGAAAUUGAAUUAAAGUGUCACAAAACCCCC